rnacentral:rRNA from 1 species
AUCUUCGGACCUUGCGCUAAUAAAUGAGCCUAAGUCGGAUUAGCUAGUUGGUGGGGUAAAGGCCUACCAAGGCGACGAUCUGUAGCGGGUCUGAGAGGAUGAUCCGCCACACUGGGACUGAGACACGGCCCAGACUCCUACGGGAGGCAGCAGUGGGGAAUAUUGGACAAUGGGGGGAACCCUGAUCCAGCCAUGCCGCGUGUGUGAAGAAGGCCUUUUGGUUGUAAAGCACUUUAAGCGAGGAGGAGGCUCCUUUAGUUAAUACCUAAAGAGAGUGGACGUUACUCGCAGAAUAAGCACCGGCUAACUCUGUGCCAGCAGCCGCGGUAAUACAGAGGGUGCGAGCGUUAAUCGGAUUUACUGGGCGUAAAGCGUGCGUAGGCGGCUUUUUAAGUCGGAUGUGAAAUCCCUGAGCUUAACUUAGGAAUUGCAUUCGAUACUGGAAAGCUAGAGUAUGGGAGAGGAUGGUAGAAUUCCAGGUGUAGCGGUGAAAUGCGUAGAGAUCUGGAGGANANUACCGAUGGCGAAGGCAGCCAUCUGGCCUAAUACUGACGCUGAGGUACGAAAGCAUGGGGAGCAAACAGGAUUAGAUACCCUGGUAGUCCAUGCCGUAAACGAUGUCUACUAGCCGUUGGGGCCUUUGAGGCUUUAGUGGCGCAGCUAACGCGAUAAGUAGACCGCCUGGGGAGUACGGUCGCAAGNACUAAAACUCAAAUGAAUUGACGGGGGCCCGCACAAGCGGUGGAGCAUGUGGUUUAAUUCGGUGCAACGCGAAGAACCUUACCUGGCCUUGACAUACUAAGAACUUUCCAGAGAUGGAUUGGUGCCUUCGGGAACUUAGAUACAGGUGCUGCAUGGCUGUCGUCAGCUCGUGUCGUGAGAUGUUGGGUUAAGUCCCGCAACGAGCGCAACCCUUUUCCUUAUUUGCCAUCGGGUAAUGCCGGGAACUUUAAGGAUACUGCCAGUGACAAACUAGAGGAAGGCGGGGACGACGUCAAGUCAUCAUGGCCCUUACGGCCAGGGCUACACACGUGCUACAAUGGUCGGUACAAAGGGUUGCUACCUCGCGAGAGGAUGCUAAUCUCAAAAAGCCGAUCGUAGUCCGGAUCGCAGUCUGCAACUCGACUGCGUGAAGUCGGAAUCGCUAGUAAUCGCGGAUCAGAAUGCCGCGGUGAAUACGUUCCCGGGCCUUGUACACACCGCCCGUCACACCAUGGGAGUUUGUUGCACCAGAAGUAGGUAGUCUAACCGCAAGGAGGACGCUUACCACGGUGUGGCCGAUGACU